rnacentral:rRNA from 1 species
AGGGGGGGCUGCCUAAUACAUGCAGUCGAGCGGACAGAUGGGAGCUUGCUCCCUGAUGUUAGCGGCGGACGGGUGAGUAACACGUGGGUAACCUGGUUUGAACCGCAUGGUUCAAACAUAAAAGGUGGCUUCGGCUACCACUUACAGAUGGACCCGCGGCGCAUUAGCUAGUUGGUGAGGUAACGGCUCACCAAGGCAACGAUGCGUAGCCGACCUGAGAGGGUGAUCGGCCACACUGGGACUGAGACACGGCCCAGACUCCUACGGGAGGCAGCAGUAGGGAAUCUUCCGCAAUGGACGAAAGUCUGACGGAGCAACGCCGCGUGAGUGAUGAAGGUUUUCGGAUCGUAAAGCUCUGUUGUUAGGGAAGAACAAGUACCGUUCGAAUAGGGCGGUACCUUGACGGUACCUAACCAGAAAGCCACGGCUAACUACGUGCCAGCAGCCGCGGUAAUACGUAGGUGGCAAGCGUUGUCCGGAAUUAUUGGGCGUAAAGGGCUCGCAGGCGGUUUCUUAAGUCUGAUGUGAAAGCCCCCGGCUCAACCGGGGAGGGUCAUUGGAAACUGGGGAACUUGAGUGCAGAAGAGGAGAGUGGAAUUCCACGUGUAGCGGUGAAAUGCGUAGAGAUGUGGAGGAACACCAGUGGCGAAGGCGACUCUCUGGUCUGUAACUGACGCUGAGGAGCGAAAGCGUGGGGAGCGAACAGGAUUAGAUACCCUGGUAGUCCACGCCGUAAACGAUGAGUGCUAAGUGUUAGGGGGUUUCCGCCCCUUAGUGCUGCAGCUAACGCAUUAAGCACUCCGCCUGGGGAGUACGGUCGCAAGACUGAAACUCAAAGGAAUUGACGGGGGCCCGCACAAGCGGUGGAGCAUGUGGUUUAAUUCGAAGCAACGCGAAGAACCUUACCAGGUCUUGACAUCCUCUGACAAUCCUAGAGAUAGGACGUCCCCUUCGGGGGCAGAGUGACAGGUGGUGCAUGGUUGUCGUCAGCUCGUGUCGUGAGAUGUUGGGUUAAGUCCCGCAACGAGCGCAACCCUUGAUCUUAGUUGCCAGCAUUCAGUUGGGCACUCUAAGGUGACUGCCGGUGACAAACCGGAGGAAGGUGGGGAUGACGUCAAAUCAUCAUGCCCCUUAUGACCUGGGCUACACACGUGCUACAAUGGACAGAACAAAGGGCAGCGAAACCGCGAGGUUAAGCCAAUCCCACAAAUCUGUUCUCAGUUCGAUCGCAGUCUGCAACUCGACUGCGUGAAGCUGGAAUCGCUAGUAAUCGCGGAUCAGCAUGCCGCGGUGAAUCGUUCCCGGGCCUUGUACACACCGCCCGUCACACCACGAGAGUUUGUAACACCCGAAGUCGGUGAGGUAACCUUUUAGGAGC